AGGUGUGCUGUCAUGUGCCUUUUUAUAAACUACAGGUGUGCUGUCAUGUGCCUUUUUAUAAACUACAGGUGUGCUGUCGUGUGCCUUUUUAUAAACUACAGGUGUGCUGUCAUGUGCCUUUUUAUAAACUACAAGUGUGCUGUCAGGUGCCUUUUUAUAAACUACAAGUGUGCUGUCAGGUGCCUUUUUAUAAACUACAAGUGUGCUGCCAUAUGCCUUUUUAUAAACUACAGGUGUGCUGUCAUGUGGUGUGCUGUCAUGUGCCUUU